GCAUGUAAAUAACAACAACAACGACCACCACCACCACCACCACCACCACCACCACCACCACCACCACCACCCCAGAUUAACAACCACCCCAGAUUCAGUAGGGUGUAUUUAUAAUAUAUAUACAUAUACAUACAAAAAGAUAUAAGCACACAUAUAUAUUGUAUGUGAAUAUAAUAAUAGCUGGAGAGCAGGGGGUGUAUGGGAGGGAUUGGAGGGAAAAUGGGGGAGUGACAUAAUUCUAUUUCCAUGAAAAUCUAUUAAAAAAAAGUGUUGUUACCUAAAAAGACAUAGAGAACACCACCAAGUGUCAAUUACCAAGAACUUAUUGCAGGAAAGGGCUACUUUACAUGUAUUAUAUCAACUAACUCUCUAGCAUAACCUGCUGGGUAAACAUGAUUCCUAGUUUAGUGACAGGAAUUAAUACUUUCAGUUAAAAAAAAUCAAAUAUCAGACUGUAAAACUGUAUGCAAUAAACAGCCAGUGCAUUGUCCAGUGGCAUAUAUACAAGUUGGUUAUGCAUUUUGAGAGAAUACAUAAAAAUUAAGACUCCAGAGAAGCUUUGUUUUUUGAGAUAGGGUUUCACAUAUCCUAGGCUGGCUUCAAACUUGCUAGUAGCUGAAGGUGACCACAAAUGCCCAUCUGAUCUCCUGCCUCUGCCUCAGUGCUGAGGGUACAGGAUGUGACAUGAUGUCCAUCUUGCUUGAAGAGAAAUUUAAAAACUUAGAAGUUUGUAUUGUGUCUCUUCAUCUCAGCUAAUUAACUAGAACCCCUUAAAAAGUGUUUCGUGGGCUGUAACUACUGCUUUUAGUCAUAUGCCAAUAGGCACUGAAUGCACUGCACAUGAAUAGGCGCUUGAGAUUAUAUCGCUUUUAUGUGUUGAACGUUUCAAAAGAUAUCUUACUUUUCUGUUUGUGUUGAGUGCCAUUAGACACUCUUCUUUAUUAAUUUGCCAGAAUGUACCAAAAGGAAGCUCACUUCCAGGCAUCUUUGGUCACAGGGCAUCAAUAGUAUUUUUUUGUGUAAAUGAUUUAUUGUGAAAGGUGACCCUGGUGCCAGAGAGCGGCAAGACCUCUUUCAGGGAGGGAGCCGCAGGCUGACACUGAGCUCUGUUAUAAAUGACAGCUUACCACCAAUGGCCCUGUCCCACAGCCAAAUGCUUCCCAGGCUCCUGCUUACAGAUCCCUUAUUUGAGGUGAACCUUCUGGUUACAGCAUCCAGAUAGAAGGGUGGGUGUCUCAGAGCAGAUGUGGUGCCAGCCUCACUGAGUCUGCUCUGACCACCAGGAGGAAAACACCCAGGCUGGUCAGGUACCCCGUUCUGCUCUGCCCACGAGUGGUUGCAAUCUGCAAGCACCAUGCUAACUCUGAAUGUCAACUCUCUUUAAUCAGCUCAAGGGUUCUGUGACUGCCCCAAAGUAACCUGGCCGAUACACUACACUGUAACAGACGUGUCCACAAAUUAAAUGUGUUUUUCUUACU
ensembl:antisense Gm42435 predicted gene 42435